ACAAUCAGUUCCGGUCUAAAAAAAUACAACAACGCGUGGAAUAUUUUAUCUAUAUAAAUAUUUCAUUACAGGUUCAGGAUGGGUUGCAAGUUGAAUUGAAGGCGAUCAUUGACACACUUUAUGUUUAUUGGUAUAUGUUAUGUCUUCCAUCUAGUUAAAGUAUAUUAACGACUAUUUUGUACUCAUGGUAGGCGAAUGUAGAAAAGCAAAUGAAGAUGGCUGGUGUUGUUCGAACCGAUGGGAAGAAUGGGUGAAACUAUGUAGCAAAGGAAAGGAAAAUAAUUGAAAUGACAAUAGAGAAAUGACAAAGCAUUAUGAGGAUGAUAAAUGCGGGAAGCGGCUUCUCGAAGAAUCGAUGAAGAUUUGCAGAUCCCGCAUAUAUUAAGGGGGAGUCUGUAAGUGCACCAAAGUUUGAUAAAUGCUGGAUACUACUGAAGUUUCAACAUUGAAGGACUAAUCUUGUAAUUAUGUGAAAGUGUCACAAGUCAAGUUUGGACAAGGGUUCUUAUACAUAUGAGAACUUGUGGGUUUAGAAUGUCAGUACUUGCAAUCUUUUAUAUGGUGAGUACUUGUGGUUCUCUAAAAGGUGCGAGCUUGUAUUGUCUAGUUAGUGGUGAGUACUUGUGGUUCUCUUAAAUGGUGCGAAUUAGUAUUGUCUAGUUAGUGGUGAGUACUUAUUUGUUAAAUACUGAAGCUUUAUUGUUAGGUCUAUGAUGUCCGAACAUAUGAUUGUAUAUAAGCUUUGUGAUGUAUGCAAUCAUUAGACAUUUAAUGAAACAAUGAUAUUUUGGAGAAAACUUCUUGUGUAAACAAACCCUAGCUUUGUGUUCUUUAUUUAAUCUAUGUGAUUGUUGAUUGUGAAUACUCUGUGUACUCACGAUUCUCUCAUCUUCUACA